UCAGCCUUUUCUCUUGUCUCACGUUUGCAUCUCUACAUCUCUACUUCGUUUGCUCAUUGCUCUGUUUGCCUCUCUAAACAAAACCCUUAAAUUAGACAGUUGAUACCACAUCUGCGAUGCAUCCACAAAACCCUCAGAGCCCGACGCACCCACAACCUCAAAUCGGAGGCGCUUCUUCUCAUCCAAUCCAAAUCGUCGGCCACUCUCUAGCUUAUUCUCUUCCAGUCCAUAUUCAAAUCAGCAGCGCACUCAUAUCCAAUCCAACUUGGCGGCGCUUCAUCUCUUCCCGUACGACUCGGCGACCCUUCUACUCUUCCAUUCUAAAUCAGCGGUGCCACCCACAAUCUUCAGGUAUGAUUGCGGCAUGUAUGUUAUUAAGCACAUGCAUACAAAAAUUAUCAAACUGAAUCUAACCUUUAUGGUAAUAUAUGUAUUGGAAGUAUAUUUUACAGUUUUUGCAUAAUUUGCUUAAGCUUCUUAUUCAUCAGCAAUGUCUACUUUUUUCAGGAGAGCUGGUCAGAACUUAUUCGAUAUAAGUUGGCAUCAAAUCUAGUGCUUUCAAAGGAAAAUUAACAACGUUAAAAAAUAAUAGAAAAUGCUAGAAAUACUCCACUACAAGAUAUUUUUCGGUCACUGGAAUGACAGUGAUUUGUAUAAUUUGAUAACUGAAUUUUUCGGAAAAUGCUACAAUUUAGUGAAUUUUAUUUUUAAUUGAAAGGGAGAUUGAAUUUCAUGCGUUGCACUACCCUUGUUUAUGUGAGUUGCACUGCAUGUUUUUAGAUAUCAAUUUAUGUUGUUUGAAGAUGGUCCACUGCAAGAAGAAUAGAAUGAUGUCAGCUUACAGAGUAAAAAUUUAGUUUUAGUUUCAGAAAACUUUGAUGAUUUCAAGGCUGAUAAAGAAGCCAAACUGGAGGAAUGGUUGGGGGGGGAUUGACAACCCGCAUAAUCAUAGAGACGCAAGUGAUGCCGAAAGGGCUUUUACAUGACAAUACUCAGCUUAUGAAAAAGCUUUACCUGUAAGUACUAUUGUUUAUUAUAUAAUUUUCUCUGAAUAAUGAUUAUAUACAAGAUAUUUGUGGUGCUCUGAGAUUCAUUUUUGGGGUAAGAAUAAAAAUUUGUUCUCAUAUUUUUGUACU